GUGUCAGCAGCCGCGGUAAUACAGAGGGUGCGAACGUUGCUCGGAAUUACUGGGCGUAAAGCGCAUGUAGGCGGAGUCGCAAGUCAGAUGUGAAAUCCCCGAGCUCAACUCGGGAACUGCAUCUGAAACUGCGAUUCUCGAGUACCGGAGAGGGUGGCGGAAUUCCUGGUGUAGAGGUGAAAUUCGUAGAUAUCAGGAGGAACACCGGUGGCGAAGGCGGCCACCUGGACGGUCACUGACGCUGAGAUGCGAAAGCGUGGGGAGCAAACAGGAUUAGAAACCCCAGUAGUCC
rnacentral:rRNA from 1 species